UGACGGUACCCUACUAGAAAGGAGCCGCUAACUUCGUGCCAGAAGCGUCGGUAAUACGGGGGCUCCAAGCGUUAUCCGGUGUUAUUGGGCGUAAAGAGUCGUGUACGUGGUUGGGUAAGUUAUCUUUCAAAUAUCUUUGCUUAACAAAGAGGAGGGGGAUAAUACUGCUCGACUAGAAUUUUCUCAAGGGAGAUCGGAACUGAGGGAGGAGUAGUGAAAUGCGUUGAUACCCUCGGGAACACCAGUGGCGUAGGCGGAUCUCUGGGAGAAGAUUGACACUGAGACACGAAAGCUAGGGGAGCGAAGCAGAUUAGAGACCUGCGUAGUCCUAGCCGUAAACGCAUGCUUGCUAGCUGCAUGAAUCUACCUUCGGGUGGUAUCGUGUGGCGAAGGUAACCCGUUAAGCAAGCCGCCUGGAAAGUACGGCCGCAAGGCUGAAAUUCAAAGGAAUUGGCGGGGAGGCACACAACCAGUGGAACAUGUGGUUUAAUUCGAGACUAACCGAAGAACCUCACCAGGGUUUGACAUGUAGCUGCACGUCUUAAGAAAUUAAGACUCUCUUGAAGGUGCUACACAGGUGCUGCAUGGCUGUCGUCAGCUCGUUCCGUGAGGAGUGCCCUUAAGUGGGACAACGAGCGCAACCCCUAUUACAUGUUAGAAAUGUCAUGUAAGACUGCCUUGCCAUUUGGCGGGGAGGAAGGAGGGGCAGACGUCAAGUCCGCAUGGUCCUUAUGCCCUGGGCUACACACAUGUUACAAUGAGUACGGCAAUGAGUCUGUCGCGAGCACGUAAGUGUAAGCUAAUCUCUUAAAUGUACUCUCAGUGGGGAUUGAGGUCUGCAACUCGACCUCAUGAACACGGAAUUGGUAGUAAUCGCGGGUCAGCUAUACCGCGGUGAUACGUUCUUGCCUCUUGCACACACCGCUCGUCAAACCAGCAAAGUCGAUUGUAUCCGAACCU
rnacentral:rRNA from 1 species